rnacentral:tRNA from 1 species
GGGUGCGUGGUAUAGUGGUAGAAUAUUCGGCUCCAACCCGAAAGAAGGGGGUUCGAUUCCCUCCGCGCCCA